GCACCUUCCAGCAGAAGUAUCCACUGGGUCCACAACUGUGCACGUGCAUGCACGGACUUUUCUCUUUUCACUGCACUUUAAUUAUUGUCAAAAAUUCUAGCAAAACUGUCAGUAUUUUCUUUGCUGCACAUUGAAAUGAAUGUUAUUAAUUUUCUUGACACAUCUUCAAUGUAACUGUAACAGUACUUUUCCCCUUAGAUUGCAUCAAAAGACCUUGUUUAGUUUUGUUAGGUAAAUUAUGUUUUUCUUCUAUUUCUUCCCCAUGUUCUAGUCUUUCAGUGGUAAGCAAUGGUAACAGUUUUAUGAAACCAAUGCUUAAACAAGAAAGCUCACAAGUCUGGAUGGUUUUGGGAGCUAAACACUUUCACUCACAUAAGCAGCUGUAUGAUUAAAAUUAACUGCCAGAAAUCACUAGUAGUAAAUUAAGAAAACAAGGCUGUAUCUCUUUGUUUAAAAAUGCAACCAUGGUUUUUGUUCUUCUAAGCAGGGAUAACGGAGGACAAACAUAAACACAAAAUGAGAAGCAAGAGAUCCAUCUACUAUCAAUCAAUUACUUGUUUCUGCAGACUUGAUAACCUCUGAUACUGCUGCUGCAGCGCAACUACCCCAUUACUCAAGAGAAACACACAUUUCUGAAUGAAUCACACGCUUCUGCUAAUGUUCACCAUGAUGCUGAUGAGCUCACACGUUAACAUGGCACAGAAAACAGCCUGGGUUUCUGAAAGCUCAGCAGAUGCCCCGAGAGAGGCCCAAGGUCCCCAGUGGGGCUCACUGGUCUGACUCCACUCCUCUUCAGCAGUAACGGCAAGAGCCUUCCAGAGAGAUGCUGGUGGUCUUGGCACUGCUCCUGGUGGACAACUGUCCACCUCACACCUGGCUCAGCCUCAGCUGAGGCAAGAUCGGGACACCAAAGCUUUUGACUUGAUCCAGAAUAACUCCCAUGAGCUGUAAUGUGAACUACAGAUUCCUGUAAAGCCCACAAAAACCCCACUAAGAGCCCAAUCCUGCAUUGACAAAGAGAAGAGGAGA